UACGGAGGGUGCGAGCGUUAAUCGGAAUUACUGGGCGUAAAGCGCAUGCAGGCGGUUAGUUAAGCAAGAUGUGAAAGCCCAGGGCUUAACCUUGGAAUAGCAUUUUGAACUGGCUAGCUAGAGUCUUGUAGAGGGGGGUAGAAUUUCAGGUGUAGCGGUGAAAUGCGUAGAGAUCUGAAGGAAUACCGGUGGCGAAGGCGGCCCCCUGGACAAAGACUGACGCUCAGAUGCGAAAGCGUGGGGAGCAAACAGG
rnacentral:rRNA from 1 species